GGAUCAUUAGCUCAAUUGGUUAGGGCAGCCGCCUCAUAAGCGGAAGAUUUGCAGGUUCGAGUCCUGCAUGAUCCA
rnacentral:tRNA from 1 species